rnacentral:tRNA from 1 species
ACCUGGGUGGCUCAGUCAGUUAAGUGGCUGAUUCUGGCUCAGGUCACGAUCUCACCACUUGUGGGUUCAAGCCCCACUUCAGGUU